CCAUUUUCCCUUCUGCAAGAGACGCCCAGACGCUGAUGCCAGCCCCUUCGUUACCAGAUCAGACCUCCAGCCACCGGGAAGCCACCUUGACGUGAGCACACUGUCCCAGCGUGUCCCUACAUCUGAAGUGCCCACACCGUCCAACAGCAGCAACUUCAAUAUUCAACUGUGAGGAAGAGUGGUGGCCUGUGGGCCGGUGGCCGUUGUUGCUGCUGUUGUUGGCCAUCCGUCCUUAUCAACGUCCGACCUCCUUCUUCCUGACCUCUGGGGGUUUCCUUCACAGGCAUGUGUGCCCAGCGCCCACCUGCUGUGUUCCCCAGCAGUGACCCUGUGACACGGAGCUGCCCUCCUCCCCCUGGCCGGCACCGUGUGGCUCUGUCUCCGCGGCAGAACGUCCAGCCAUCAGCUCCCACCGUAUCUCCGUUAUCUCUUUGGGAAGGGGUCCUGGAGGUGACAGAGCAGAGUUGAAGGCCGUGGGCACUCAGGGUUCUCGAUGUGCUUCUGUGGCACUUAUGUCCCCAGGAGACAUAAAGCACCUUCACCCAGGCAGCCUUCAAAGGUCAAAGUCCAGUGGAAGUGACCCUGGGUCCCGCCCUGAGCUGGAAGAAACCGAACAGACCGUCCUGGGAAAAGGACUUCAUGGGGACACUUUUAAAAACUUAUCACAAUUCUUUGGGGACAGUUGCUUUAUGAAUGAGAGUAAUAUUCAAUCAAGUAUUUUUGGAAAAUGAGGAGAAAACAUUUCUGGUAAUUAAGAACAAACCUAAAACACAGAGGAGGGUGAUGCGGUGACGGCUCAUGUAAGGGUGGCCACAGCGGCUCCAACCAUCGAGCCUCGGCAGGCAGCCAAGGGAGUGAGCAGAGAAAACCAGGGACCCGGCUCUCGGGAGUGCGCUUGCGCCUGGGGAGUCUGGCUGGAGGCGGGUUGGCCUCAGCGGGUCUGGCGAGGGCUGAAGUCGGCCAGCAUGGCCAGCACCCAGGGAGGUCAAGACGCUGGUCCACAGAGCACAGAGUGGCCAGGACUUAGAACAGAAUGACAGGACUUUCCGGUGCUCUUCGGUGACUUCCCAAAGAGUUGAGAGGGAUCUAGAACCACCGAGCCUAGCUUUUCCUGUACUUUAGCAGCAGCAGGGGAGAUUAAAUAAAUAACAUGAAGAAAAAAAAAAAAA
rnacentral:lncRNA from 1 species